GCCACUGGUGGGUGAAAAUGCCAGGGCCGUUUUUUUAAUCCCAGUCCGUCACUGGACAGAGAUGUCUUUCAAGAAUGUAGCCCUGCAUGAGAACCACAAACUCGUGAAGAUCAAUGCAGGACAGUUCUUCCGAAGCAUGGCCGAAAAUAUGAAAUGCAGAAUGACUCCAACAACUUCCUCUCAUGUCAGCACAACAGAACAUUGAGGUAGCAACCAACUGGUGACAGACAUGAAGUUCUUCAACCAGAAACUUGGCCUGAGGGAAAACUGGACAUACAGCAUGGUGAUGCAGAAGUGCUUCGUUUGUGUGACUACCUAAAAGUAGAGGGAAGAGGAAGUAUCCAGGGAUUUCGGGAUUACAAGGACAAUAGAGCAUCCCAGACCCCAGACGCCCUGCAGCCACUACUUAAAUCUGUCCAUGCCAUUGCUGUGUCUACCAGUGAAUGUAAGCAAGCUUUCAGUUGCAUGAAUGACCUUCUUACUGCCAAAAGAAACUCACUUGCUAUUGUUUCUGAAAUGCAAUGGGCCACCUUUACAGCAGUUCAAUCCACAACGUUAUGUAAAGUCAUGGCUUGCCAAGGGAAGAAGAUCUGCAGAUGAAACAUCAUGUGAAGCUCCUCACCAUUCAAGCAAAGCUGACCCCAAGACCUGCUGGACCCUUUUUUAAUUAGCCUCUCCCUGCAAAGGCAAGGUAAGAUGCGGAUGAAACAGCAGCUCCAGAACCUGAAGUUUAACCACAUAGCCUAUGGUGCCAAAUGUGAACUAAAGCGAGUGUUGUGAAUAAUUGAAAUGGUUGUCCCUUUGAUUAAAUAGUUUUUGAAGCUCAGCAUUAC
ensembl:lncRNA